CAUUGGAUAGCUCAUUGGGUAGAGCAUCGGACUGUUAAUCCGACUGUAGAAGGUUCGAAUCCUUCUCCAAACC
rnacentral:tRNA from 1 species